UCGAGGUAGGACGUGCACCCGAGCCCCGCCGAACCGAGGCCACCCGGAGCCGUGCCCAGUCCUCGCCGGCCGUGCCCGGCGGCCUCAAGAACCCGGCAACCUCUGCCUUCUUCCCUCUUCCACUCAGAGUCGCGCUCGGCGCGACCUCACUGCAGCCCCUGCGUCGCCGGGACCCUCGCGCGCGGCCGCCGGAUCGCUCCUGCAGCAGAGCCAACAUGCCCAUCACUCGGAUGCGCAUGAGACCCUGGCUAGAGAUGCAGAUUAAUUCCAACCAAAUCCCGGGGCUCAUCUGGAUUAAUAAAGUGAGUGUAACUCUUUGGGUUUUCCUGCCACUGUUUUAACCCAUGUACUUCUGGAGGGACCAAAGCUUCAGAUGCAGCUCAAAAAGGGAAGUGAUAACGGGACAGGCAGAUGUUUCUCCCAGUGGGUCCUGCAUGCAGGGAGUGUGCACGGCCCAGCCUGGGCCUCACUUGCAUGACUCCUGCCUUCUUCCCUUCUUGAGGUAGGGCAUCCACCUGAAGGCACUUCCAGUUUCCAGCAGCAAGACUUUCCCAGCAUCUGCAGAGCUGGAGUUCUGGUCUCCUCUAAGGGAGACCCUUACAAACAUACACAGCACCCUGCAGGGCUCCAAUCGAACAAAUAGAAGACUGAGAAGUGGAUGCUGCUGGGUAGAAAGGUGGCUGGCUUAGCAGAGGACAAACGAAUUAAUCUUGCACCAGUCACUCUGGCCCAAGAAGCCUAUAGCUGGUGCACUUGGGGCAACAUAGACCCUAUAGACUUAGUAGCAAUGAUAGUAUUCAUAAUAAUAGCUAAUGCUUACUGAACACUCCCUGUGUGCCUGGUACCUGCUAAGUAUGUUAUUUACAUUGUGUCAUUUAAUCCUCGCAGUAGUCCUGUGGGGUAGAUCUUAUUAAUGUCAUCAUUUUCAGAUAAGUAAACAGAGGCACUGAGAGGUAGAUCAUAAGAUCACACAAAAAGUGAUGAAGCCAAGAUGUGAACUUGAACGGUCUCAGAAAUCUU
rnacentral:sRNA from 1 species